GUAUAGACCCGAAACCCGGUGAUCUAGCCAUGGGCAGGUUGAAGGUUGGGUAACACUAACUGGAGGACCGAACCGACUAAUGUUGAAAAAUUAGCGGAUGACUUGUGGCUGGGGGUGAAAGGCCAAUCAAACCGGGAGAUAGCUGGUUCUCCCCGAAAGCUAUUUAGGUAGCGCCUCGUGAAUUCAUCUCCGGGGGUAGAGCACUGUUUCGGCAAGGGGGUCAUCCCGACUUACCAACCCGAUGCAAACUGCGAAUACCGGAGAAUGUUAUCACGGGAGACACACGGCGGGUGCUAACGUCCGUCGUGAAGAGGGAAACAACCCAGACCGCCAGCUAAGGUCCCAAAGUCAUGGUUAAGUGGGAAACGAUGUGGGAAGGCCCAGACAGCCAGGAUGUUGGCUUAGAAGCAGCCAUCAUUUAAAGAAAGCGUAAUAGCUCACUGGUCGAGUCGGCCUGCGCGGAAGAUGUAACGGGGCUAAACCAUGCACCGAAGCUGCGGCAGCGACACUAUGUGUUGUUGGGUAGGGGAGCGUUCUGUAAGCCUGUGAAGGUGGCCUGUGAGGGUUGCUGGAGGUAUCAGAAGUGCGAAUGCUGACAUAAGUAACGAUAAAGCGGGUGAAAAGCCCGCUCGCCGGAAGACCAAGGGUUCCUGUCCAACGUUAAUCGGGGCAGGGUGAGUCGACCCCUAAGGCGAGGCCGAAAGGCGUAGUCGAUGGGAAACAGGUUAAUAUUCCUGUACUUGGUGUUACUGCGAAGGGGGGACGGAGAAGGCUAUGUUGGCCGGGCGACGGUUGUCCCGGUUUAAGCGUGUAGGCUGGUUUUCCAGGCAAAUCCGGAAAACCAAGGCUGAGGCGUGAUGACGAGGCACUACGGUGCUGAAGCGACAAAUGCCCUGCUUCCAGGAAAAGCCUCUAAGCAUCAGGUAACAUCAAAUCGUACCCCAAACCGACACAGGUGGUCAGGUAGAGAAUACCAAGGCGCUUGAGAGAACUCGGGUGAAGGAACUAGGCAAAAUGGUGCCGUAACUUCGGGAGAAGGCACGCUGAUAUGUAGGUGAAGCGACUUGCUCGUGGAGCUGAAAUCAGUCGAAGAUACCAGCUGGCUGCAACUGUUUAUUAAAAACACAGCACUGUGCAAACACGAAAGUGGACGUAUACGGUGUGACGCCUGCCCGGUGCCGGAAGGUUAAUUGAUGGGGUUAGCGGCAACGCGAAGCUCUUGAUCGAAGCCCCGGUAAACGGCGGCCGUAACUAUAACGGUCCUAAGGUAGCGAAAUUCCUUGUCGGGUAAGUUCCGACCUGCACGAAUGGCGUAAUGAUGGCCAGGCUGUCUCCACCCGAGACUCAGUGAAAUUGAACUCGCUGUGAAGAUGCAGUGUACCCGCGGCAAGACGGAAAGACCCCGUGAACCUUUACUAUAGCUUGACACUGAACAUUGAGCCUUGAUGUGUAGGAUAGGUGGGAGGCUUUGAAGUGUGGACGCCAGUCUGCAUGGAGCCGACCUUGAAAUACCACCCUUUAAUGUUUGAUGUUCUAACGUUGGCCCGUAAUCCGGGUUGCGGACAGUGUCUGGUGGGUAGUUUGACUGGGGCGGUCUCCUCCCAAAGAGUAACGGAGGAGCACGAAGGUUGGCUAAUCCUGGUCGGACAUCAGGAGGUUAGUGCAAUGGCAUAAGCCAGCUUGACUGCGAGCGUGACGGCGCGAGCAGGUGCGAAAGCAGGUCAUAGUGAUCCGGUGGUUCUGAAUGGAAGGGCCAUCGCUCAACGGAUAAAAGGUACUCCGGGGAUAACAGGCUGAUACCGCCCAAGAGUUCAUAUCGACGGCGGUGUUUGGCACCUCGAUGUCGGCUCAUCACAUCCUGGGGCUGAAGUAGGUCCCAAGGGUAUGGCUGUUCGCCAUUUAAAGUGGUACGCGAGCUGGGUUUAGAACGUCGUGAGACAGUUCGGUCCCUAUCUGCCGUGGGCGCUGGAGAACUGAGGGGGGCUGCUCCUAGUACGAGAGGACCGGAGUGGACGCAUCACUGGUGUUCGGGUUGUCAUGCCAAUGGCACUGCCCGGUAGCUAAAUGCGGAAGAGAUAAGUGCUGAAAGCAUCUAAGCACGAAACUUGCCCCGAGAUGAGUUCU
rnacentral:rRNA from 1 species